CUCUGUGCCUAGCACUGUGCUGGGACUCUGGGGGGAUGCACAGGUGAGCAGGUGCAGCCCACGCUGUCAGGAAUACCCUGAGAACCUGGCAACACUCCCGGGACUCAAGAAGGCAGGUGGGAUGAGAACUACAACAGAGGUGCAAAUGGGACAGGAGUGACAGAAGAUAGGACCUCUCAGCCAAGUAAGAACUGCUGCUCACAUGGAGAGUGAAGAGGUCACACUGUCCUCAGGAUGA
rnacentral:lncRNA from 1 species